CCCUUAGAUGUUCUGGGCCGCACGCGCGCUACACUGAUGCAUUCAACGAGUCUAAAACCUGCUCUGAUAGGGGUGGGUAAUCUUUUGAAUGUGCAUCGUGAUUGGGAUAGAUGAUUGCAAUUUUUCAUCUUCAACGAGGAAUGCCUAGUAAACGCAAGUCAUCAGCUUGCAUUGAUUACGUCCCUGCCCUUUGUACACACCGGCCGUCGCUCCUACCGAUUGAAUGAUCCGAUGAAUAUCAUGGAUUGAGGAUGCAAGUAGGUUAGCCUAUCUUCAUCUUCGAGAAGUGAAGUAAAUCUUAUCAUUUAGAGGAAGGAGAAGUCGUAACA
rnacentral:rRNA from 1 species